rnacentral:rRNA from 1 species
AGCGAACGCUGGCGGCAGGCUUAACACAUGCAAGUCGAGCGGGCACUUCGGUGUCAGCGGCUGACGGGUGAGUAACACGUGGGAACGUACCCUUCGGUUCGGAAUAACGCUGGGAAACUAGCGCUAAUACCGGAUACGCCCUUUUGGGGAAAGGUUUACUGCCGAAGGAUCGGCCCGCGUCUGAUUAGCUAGUUGGUGGGGUAAUGGCCUACCAAGGCGACGAUCAGUAGCUGGUCUGAGAGGAUGAUCAGCCACACUGGGACUGAGACACGGCCCAGACUCCUACGGGAGGCAGCAGUGGGGAAUAUUGGACAAUGGGCGCAAGCCUGAUCCAGCCAUGCCGCGUGAGUGAUGAAGGCCUUAGGGUUGUAAAGCUCUUUUGUCCGGGACGAUAAUGACGGUACCGGAAGAAUAAGCCCCGGCUAACUUCGUG